UUGAUAUUCCCGUACCCGUGUAUCCGCGCCCAAUGGCGAAUCAUCUGUGCUAACCAUCCAAAUGUGGACGGAUCUCCUUCGGGAGACCUGAAGCGGCUGCAUGGGACCCUGGGUGUAGUAGUCAAGCGAUGGGGUGACGCAGGAAGGUAGCUGGGCCCGGUGGUGGAUUACCGGGUGUAAGCCUGUAGGGCGUUGUGUAGGCAAAUCCGCACAGCAUAUGGCCUGAGAGGUGAUGCGUAGCCGGUUGAGGUGAAUUCAGUGAUCCUAUGCUGCCGAGAAAAGCCUCUAGUGAGUUGGUACACGGCCCGUACCCCAAACCGACACAGGUGGUCAGGUAGAGAAUACUAAGGCGAUCGAGAUAACUGUGGUGAAGGAACUCGGCAAAAUACCUCCGUAACUUCGGGAGAAGGAGGGCCUGAUCUGGUGAACCGUCUUGCAUGGGGAGCUGGGUUGGGUCGCAGAGACCAGAGAGAAGCGACUGUUUACUAAAAACACAGGUCCGUGCGAAGUCGUAAGACGAUGUAUACGGACUGACGCCUGCCCGGUGCCGGAAGGUUAAGAGGACCGGUUAGCGCAGUAAUGCGCGAAGCUGAGAAUUUAAGCCCCGGUAAACGGCGGUGGUAACUAUAACCAUCCUAAGGUAGCGAAAUUCCUUGUCGGGUAAGUUCCGACCUGCACGAAUGGCGUAACGACUUCUCUGCUGUCUCCACCACAGACUCGGCGAAAUUGCAGUACGAGUAAAGAUGCUCGUUACGCGCGGCAGGACGAAAAGACCCCGGGACCUUCACUAUAGCUUGGUAUUGGUGUUCGGUACGGUUUGUGUAGGAUAGGUGGGAGACUGUGAAGCAGGGACGCCAGUUCUUGUGGAGUCGUCGUUGAAAUACCACUCUGGUCGUAUUGGACCUCUAACCUCGGGCCAUGAUCUGGUUCAGGGACAGUGCCUGGUGGGUAGUUUAACUGGGGCGGUUGCCUCCCAAAGUGUAACGGAGGCGCCCAAAGGUUCCCUCAGCCUGGUUGGCAAUCAGGUGUUGAGUGUAAGUGCACAAGGGAGCUUGACUGUGAGACUGACAGGUCGAGCAGGGACGAAAGUCGGGACUAGUGAUCCGGCACCGGCAUGUGGAAGCGGUGUCGCUCAACGGAUAAAAGGUACCCCGGGGAUAACAGGCUGAUCUUCCCCAAGAGUCCAUAUCGACGGGAUGGUUUGGCACCUCGAUGUCGGCUCGUCGCAUCCUGGGGCUGGAGUAGGUCCCAAGGGUUGGGCUGUUCGCCCAUUAAAGCGGCACGCGAGCUGGGUUUAGAACGUCGUGAGACAGUUCGGUCUCUAUCCGCCGCGCGCGUUAGAAACUUGAGGAAGGCUGUCCCUAGUACGAGAGGACCGGGACGGACGAACCUCUGGUGUGCCAGUUGUCCCGCCAGGGGCACGGCUGGUUGGCCACGUUCGGAAGGGAUAACCGCUGAAAGCAUCUAAGCGGGAAGCCUGUUCCAAGAUGAGGUUUCUCACCCCCUCGAGGGGGUAAGGCCCCCAACAGACCAUUGGGUUGAUAGGCCAGAACUGGAAGCACAGUAAUGUGUGGAGGUGACUGGUACUAAUAGGCCGAGGACUUACCAAC
rnacentral:rRNA from 1 species